AAAAUAGGCUCUCUUUCCACCAAAUUUCUAUAGUCUGUUGCUUCAUCGAGGCUAUAACAAAAAUUCAAUUCUGAUAACUUUGUUCCGAAUUCCUCCCUCCUUAUCCUUAAUGAAGUGAUGCAAAACAUACAAAGCAAAUCUUACACAUUGAACCUCAAAUCAAUAUUCAACGGCUCAUUCAACUGGGCUUCUAUUAUGCUUGAAAUUAACUAUUCUUUUAUUUAUAAAUGAAAAAAACCAUAUUGGAAAAAAUAGCUGAAAAUUGACAACAAAAGAACAUCUACAUUAAUGAAAUGGUGUUUUGAGCAAUUCAUGGUUUAGUUGCUUUGGUCUGGUGUAGCUGCAAGAUUGUUAAGCUCUGCAAAUCUUAAACCAACCCGCAUCGAGUGCUUCAAGAAUUUCUCAGCACAUCUCAUGACACAGGUUUCCUCCUGCUUCUGCAGUGAUUUGCGUGUAAAGCUGUCCACACAGUCAUUGAAGCAUCUCUCCACAACUGAAUUGUACAUCCUCAUACUGCAGAUGCACAUCAGGCAUGAUAAAAAUUAGAUAGUUCAAUUCCGUAUAGGCUAUGUUUGGGAUAAGGAUUUUUCUAAAAUCCUAGGAUCUGUCCAAAUAGAAGGCACAGUAAAAUUACUGCACUAUCUGGAAUAAAAGGAAAAAGCCUAACAGUAUUUGGAUACUUUGCCAGUAAACUUUGAGAUGUCAUAUAUAUAUAUAACACCCUAAAGUUUUAGUAUCAUCAGCAUUUUCACACUGCUUACAUAUAUGCAUUAGUUUGGAGUCGUGGAUUCUAAGAUCUAGACUAGAAUUAAAAUAUGCAGCAAAAUGUCAGAAAACAAUGUGUCAAGUAUCAAGUAGAAGAAACAGCAGCUCUAAGCUUUCCAAUGAAGGGGCAAGAUAUACAACAGAGUACAGAUAUCACAAGUAAAAUGCUCACACAUGAAUAAGAAAUAUUAACUUAGGAAUAGGGAUAUUGCUCCCAUAACGUCCGAAUGCAACAUAUGCAGAUGAUUGGCGGCACAGGUUUUUAGGGGAACAUUGUUUUAGCUUCACAUCAACGAAGUCACAAACCAAACUUGCAACAUCAAUUGUCAAAAUUGGUAUGUGAAGCCAUAAAUGAGAGGUAGAAGAAAACACAAUUACACUUCAGGAAAAAAAACCAAUCACCUAUAAACAGCAUAGCAAAAUAAAAUGCAAAACUUCAUACUUGGAAUCACAAAUCCUACGCCACUUUCAAAUUAACCCAAUAAUUAGAACUAACGCAUUUCUAAUCCUCCAAAAACCAAAUAAAUUGAUCAAUUCGGAAGCAAAUAGAAACCAAUUAAUAGAUCUCUUCGCGACAAUUAUCCACAAUGUAGCAAAUACUAAAGAAUUAUCAACCCAUUAAAGCAGAUCGACAGGCAGAACAGAUUUAAAAACCUGUCUCGCACUUGGAGCUGCUCGAUUACAGCAGCCAUCCGCCUCUGGUCUUCUUCAGGUAGACCAUCAAGACCUUGUAGCAUGCUCUUGUCCAUACCUUCUCCAAAAAGAAAAAAGAAAUAAGAAUUAGGGUUUUGUUUUUAGUUCCUUACCAUGCAUUAGCUGGAAAGAGGUAGGCUUUAGUCCACAGCCUAAUCCUUCUGUUUUAUACCAAUGAGAACCCUAAAAACCGCGCGAUACGCAAUUCACUUCAGUCUCCGGAACGGCGACGUUCAAUUGACUGGUUUAAUAGUUAGUGCCCGCCGGCGUUGAUGA
rnacentral:misc_RNA from 1 species